AGAGUUUGAUCCUGGCUCAGGAUGAACGCUAGCGGGAGGCUUAACACAUGCAAGUCGAGGGGUAACGGGUUGAAACUUCGGUUUUGAUGCUGACGACCGGCGAACGGGUGAGUAACGCGUAUGCAACCUGCCUUUUACAGAGGGAUAGCUUUCGGAAACGGAAAUUAAUACCUCAUAACACUGCGAUAUGGCAUCAUAAUGCAGUUAAAACUUUGGUGGUAAAAGAUGGGCAUGCGUAACAUUAGCUAGUUGGUAAGGUAACGGCUUACCAAGGCUGUGAUGUUUAGGGGACCUGAGAGGGUGAUCCCCCACGCUGGUACUGAGACACGGACCAGACUCCUACGGGAGGCAGCAGUGAGGAAUAUUGGUCAAUGGACGGAAGUCUGAACCAGCCAUCCCGCGUGCAGGACGACGGCCCUAUGGGUUGUAAACUGCUUUUCUGAAGGAAGAAUAAUCGCUACGUGUAGUGAGACGACGGUACUUCAGGAAUAAGCAUCGGCUAACUCCGUGCCAGCAGCCGCGGUAAUACGGAGGAUGCAAGCGUUAUCCGGAUUUAUUGGGUUUAAAGGGUGCGUAGGCGGAUUAAUAAGUCAGUGGUGAAAUCUUUCGGCUCAACCGAGAAACUGCCAUUGAUACUGUUAAUCUUGAGUUCGGUCGAGGUAGGCGGAAUGUGUAAUGUAGCGGUGAAAUGCUAGAUAUUACACAGAACACCAAUUGCGUAGGCAGCUUACUAGACCGAUACUGACGCUGAGGCACGAAAGCGUGGGUAGCGAACAGGAUUAGAUACCCUGGUAGUCCACGCCGUAAACGAUGAUUACUCGUUGUUGGCGAUACACAGUCAGCGACCAAGCGAAAGCGAUAAGUAAUCCACCUGGGGAGUACGCUCGCAAGAGUGAAACUCAAAGGAAUUGACGGGGGCCCGCACAAGCGGUGGAACAUGUGGUUUAAUUCGAUGAUACGCGAGGAACCUUACCUGGGCUUAAAUGUAGAGUGCAUGAUCGGGAAACUGAUCUUUCCUUCGGGACUCUUUACAAGGUGCUGCAUGGUUGUCGUCAGCUCGUGCCGUGAGGUGUCGGGUUAAGUCCCAUAACGAGCGCAACCCCUAUCAUUAGUUGCCAUCGGGUAAAGCCGGGGACUCUAGUGAAACUGCCACCGUAAGGUGAGAGGAAGGUGGGGAUGACGUCAAAUCAGCACGGCCCUUAUGUCCAGGGCUACACACGUGUUACAAUGGUCGGUACAGAGGGCAGCUACCUGGUGACAGGAUGCGAAUCUCUAAAGCCGGUCCAAGUUCGGAUCGAAGUCUGCAACUCGACUUCGUGAAGCUGGAAUCGCUAGUAAUCGCGCAUCAGCCAUGGCGCGGUGAAUACGUUCCCGGGCCUUGUACACACCGCCCGUCAAGCCAUGGAAGCUGGGGGUGCCUGAAGUUCGUAACCGCAAGGAGCGACCUAGGGUAAAACUAGUGACUGGGGCUAAGUCGUAACAAGGUA
rnacentral:rRNA from 1 species